rnacentral:rRNA from 1 species
AUUGAACGCUGGCGGCAUGCCUUACACAUGCAAGUCGAACGGCAGCACGGGUGCUUGCACCUGGUGGCGAGUGGCGAACGGGUGAGUAAUACAUCGGAACAUGUCCUGUAGUGGGGGAUAGCCCGGCGAAAGCCGGAUUAAUACCGCAUACGAUCUACGGAUGAAAGCGGGGGACCUUCGGGCCUCGCGCUAUAGGGUUGGCCGAUGGCUGAUUAGCUAGUUGGUGGGGUAAAGGCCUACCAAGGCGACAAUCAGUAGCUGGUCUGAGAGGACGACCAGCCACACUGGGACUGAGACACGGCCCAGACUCCUACGGGAGGCAGCAGUGGGGAAUUUUGGACAAUGGGCGAAAGCCUGAUCCAGCAAUGCCGCGUGUGUGAAGAAGGCCUUCGGGUUGUAAAGCACUUUUGUCCGGAAAGAAAUCCUUGGCCCUAAUACGGUCGGGGGAUGACGGUACCGGAAGAAUAAGCACCGGCUAACUACGUG